CCAGAAGAUUGGAAGUUAGCGAAUGUUGUGCCCAUUUACAAGAAAGGUAAUAGGGAGGAGUCGGGCAACUAUAGGCCAGUAAGCCUUACUUCAGUAGUGGGGAAAGUGAUGGAAACCAUGUUAAAGGAUAGGAUUGUUGAACAUCUAAAAACACAUGGAUUUCAAGAUCAGAGACAACAUGGGUUUACUUCAGGGAGAUCAUGCCAAACUAAUCUUAUUGAUUUUUUUGAUUGGGUAACUAAAAUUAUAGAUCAGGGUGGUGCAGUAGACAUUGCUUACCUAGAUUUCAGUAAGGCUUUUGACACUAUUGCACAUAGAAGGCUUAUCAAUAAACUGCAAUCUUUAAGUUUGGAUUCAAAUAUUGUUGAAUGGGUAAGGCAGUGGCUGAGUAACAGGCAACAGAGGGUUGUAGUUAAUGGAAUAUAUUCG